ACUGCUGCACUGAGAAACGUCCCCAGCCACAAGAGAGGCAGAGAUGCGCACAGAGAUGUGACACGUGCAUGCAGAGACAGGAGGGACGUGCACACAGAGAUGUGACACAUGCACGCAGAGACGGGAAGACAAGCACCACUUCAUGGGCACACGCGAAUCCAAACGGAUACGCACGUGUCCACACACAUACACCCCGCUCCCCAAUUGGGGAUAGACAUCUGGCUUGGUUGGCAGGCAUCGGGCCUGGACAUUUUUCACAUGGAGUGCACAAGGCAAGUGCCACUGCCCCAAGGAUCUUCUCCAACAAAACUCCUGCCUGGAGCAAGGAAACCAAACGGAGCUCAGUUCCCAGGCUUGGCAGCCACCAAGCCCAGCAUGGGGUCUGAGGGGGAGAUCCCAGCUCUAGGGCCGGCAGUGCUGCCCUUUUGAGCUCUGCCCCUGCCAACGGGACACUGUUGGCUGUGGACACGACUCUUUGGACAGGAGGUUAGACUCCUCAUCGGAGACUUGGUGUGAGUGUCUAAGCAGCCGCUUCGUGCGCAGAGGUUUGGGGCGUGUUAUUAUCACAAACCAUUAAUGCCCUGCAUAAGCAGAAGUCAGGGAAGGAAAACAGGAGAAGCCAGGACCAUUCAGCAGCAGAACAAGCACCUUGAUCCCUGGCACGUUGGAGGAAUUUCUGAGUGCAGAGGAAAGCGGAGCCAUCCCACACUCGGUCACUCUCAAUUCACAGUCAGUUUCAAUAACCUUCUUGGCCUGGCAAGCUAUGAAUGUGUGGCCAAAGUUAACCCUUCAAGUGCCCGCGGCUGGGACCCGUCUGCAUGAGGGAAAUGGAAGCUCACUAGUAAUUCAGUUCAUUUCUGAUGCAUGCAGAAUCAGACUCUCCGUGUCAGCUUGACUUCGGGGUUUCCUUCCCUCAGCCAUUCCUUCCCCCAAGCUCUAGAGAGGGCAGGCCAGGCUGAGCAGGCAGGAGUCCCUCUCCUGGCCACUACCUGUUAGUUUUGGCAUAAGGAAUGCUGACUUCUUUCCUAUCUUUGGAGGACCCAAGACACCACAAAGCAAAUCACCGAUGCCUAACUGAACUUGUUUCCUGCUGCACAACCGGGUCGUCCUUGUAGAAGGGAGGCAAGAUCACAUCAUAAGAAAAAAAGGGGAACAGACUGUAUCCAAGCCAGGAGAGCAGCAAUGCACGACUUGGGCUAGCGAAUGCACCACAGGAGUGGUCUUCCAUCUCAAUGGGCCUCAAGAUUGUUGUAACCAAGACGGCCUCCCGGGAUAGAGGAGUUUUGCUCACUGCGCUUGUGUACCUCGAAUUUGCGUGCUGUGCCGAUUGAACCGUAGCAGCACUUUGAUUGGAUGCAGAGGGAGCGCGCAGCUCUCACAGCCAAUGCUGCAUGCAAUCAACAUGCACCUCACUUCACGUGAGCUUGCUUCAUGUGCAUGUCACUUUAACCCCAUUAGGAAAAAUUGGGUUGCCAUGUGUCCAGUUUUCACCCGGACAGUCUGGUAAUUACAUCUUCUGUUCAGUAAAAAAAAAAAA